AUUGAACGCUGGCGGCAGGCCUAACACAUGCAAGUCGAGCGAUCGGCGGACGGGUGAGAAAUGUACGGGAAACAGCCUGAUGGAGGGGGAUAACUACUGGAAACGGCAGCUAAUACCGCAUACCAUCAAAUAGUCCCAGCUGGGAUGAGCUAGUGGGUGGGGUAACGGCUCACCUAGGCGAAGAUACCUCGCUGGUCUGAGAGGAUGACCAGCCACACUGGAACUGAGACACGGUCCAGACUCCUACGGGAGGCAGCAGUGGGGAAUAUUGCACAAUGGGCGCAAGCCUGAUGCAGCCAUGCCGGGUGUGUGAAGAAGGCCUUCGGGUUGUAAAGCACUUUCAGCGGGGAGGCGUUACCCGCAGAAGAAGCACCGGCUAACUCCGUGCCAGCCGCCGCGGUAAUAC
rnacentral:rRNA from 1 species